CUACGGGCGGCUGCAGUGAGGAAUAUUGCACAACGGGGGGAACCCUGAUGCAGCAACGCCGCGUGGAGGAUGACGCAUUUCGGUGUGUAAACUCCUUUUAUAUGUCAAGAAAAUGACGGUAGCAUAUGAAUAAGCACCGCGCUAACUCCGUGCCAGCAGCCGCGGUAAGACGGAGGGUGCAAGCGUUACUCGGAAUCACUGGGCGUAAAGGACGCGUAGGCGGGUUGGAAAGUCAGGUGUGAAAUCCUACAGCUUAACUGUAGAACUGCACUUGAAACUUCUAAUCUAGAGUAUGGGAGGGGGAGAUGGAAUUAGUGGUGUAGGGGUAAAAUCCGUAGAUAUCACUAGGAAUACCUAAAGCGAAGGCGAUCUCCUGGAACAUUACUGACGCUAAGGCGUGAAAGCGUGGGGAGCAAACAGGAUUAGAUACCCGCGUAGUC
rnacentral:rRNA from 1 species